GAUGAACGCUGGCGGCAUGCCUAAUACAUGCAAGUCGAACGAGAGGAAGGAAAGCUUGCUUUUCUGAAUCUAGUGGCGAACGGGUGAGUAACACGUAGGUAACCUGCCCAUGUGCCCGGGAUAACUUCUGGAAACGGAUGCUAAAACCGGAUAGGUAGCAGACAAGCAUUUGACUGCUAUUAAAGUGGCUAAGGCCAUGAACAUGGAUGGACCUGCGGUGCAUUAGCUAGUUGGUGAGGUAACGGCCCACCAAGGCGACGAUGCAUAGCCGGCCUGAGAGGGCGGACGGCCACAUUGGGACUGAGACACGGCCCAAACUCCUACGGGAGGCAGCAGUAGGGAAUUUUCGUCAAUGGGGGGAACCCUGAACGAGCAAUGCCGCGUGAGUGAGGAAGGUCUUCGGAUCGUAAAGCUCUGUUGUAAGAGGAAAACGACAUUCAUAGGGAAUGAUGAGUGAGUGAUGGUAUCUUACCAGAAAGUCACGGCUAACUACGUGCCAGCCGCCGCCGUAACAC
rnacentral:rRNA from 1 species